GGGUUACUGAAGAGUCUCCUGGGCACAGGAAACAAGCACAGGGAGAGCCAUGACACCACAGAGGGAUGCACAACUACCUCACAACACCAGGACAUGAGCGCUGCCUUCCGGCUACACGGCCGCGUGGCCUCUGGAAGCCGCUCAGGAGCACCCGGGACCCCCGGACCGGGACCCGGGACCCCCGAGUGUGUUAUUAUGACUUUAUCUGCACAUCUGAUUCAGACAAAGCAGACACAUUCGGGCUCAUCAGUGUGACCCCUUGUCAUCUGGGGCGCCCACCUAAAGGGGCCCGGACCCCAGGUUGGGGACCACUGCAGACACGAGGAAGGAGCUGGAUGGACUGAAGACGGGAGUGGAGUGCCGAGCAGAGAGACUGUCUUGGGGUCGAAUACAAUAAAGUAUAUUCCAAAAUAUCA